rnacentral:rRNA from 1 species
GGGUUGUGAGGUUAAGCGACUAAGCGUACACGGUGGAUGCCCUGGCAGUCAGAGGCGAUGAAGGACGUGCUAAUCUGCGAAAAGCGCCGGCGAGGUGAUAUGAACCUUUGACCCGGCGAUGUCCGAAUGGGGAAACCCAGUGCAAUUCGUUGCACUAUCGUUAACUGAAUACAUAGGUUAACGAGGCGAACCGGGGGAACUGAAACAUCUAAGUACCCCGAGGAAAAGAAAUCAACCGAGAUUCCCCCAGUAGCGGCGAGCGAACGGGGAGCAGCCCAGAGUCUGAAUCAGCUUGUGUGUUAGUGGAAGCGUCUGGAAAGUCGCACGGUACAGGGUGACAGUCCCGUACACGAAAGCACACAGGUUGUGAACUCGAAGAGUAGGGCGGGACACGUGGUAUCCUGUCUGAAUAUGGGGGGACCAUCCUCCAAGGCUAAAUACUCCUGACUGACCGAUAGUGAACCAGUACCGUGAGGGAAAGGCGAAAAGAACCCCGGCGAGGGGAGUGAAAUAGAACCUGAAACCGUGUACGUACAAGCAGUGGGAGCACCUUCGUGGUGUGACUGCGUACCUUUUGUAUAAUGGGUCAGCGACUUAUAUUCUGUAGCAAGGUUAACCGUAUAGGGGAGCCGAAGGGAAACCGAGUCUUAACUGGGCGUUAAGUUGCAGGGUAUAGACCCGAAACCCGGUGAUCUAGCCAUGGGCAGGUUGAAGGUUGGGUAACACUAACUGGAGGACCGAACCGACUAAUGUUGAAAAAUUAGCGGAUGACUUGUGGCUGGGGGUGAAAGGCCAAUCAAACCGGGAGAUAGCUGGUUCUCCCCGAAAGCUAUUUAGGUAGCGCCUCGUGAACUCAUCUUCGGGGGUAGAGCACUGUUUCGGCUAGGGGGCCAUCCCGGCUUACCAACCCGAUGCAAACUACGAAUACCGAAGAAUGUUAUCACGGGAGACACACGGCGGGUGCUAACGUCCGUCGUGAAGAGGGAAACAACCCAGACCGCCAGCUAAGGUCCCAAAGUCAUGGUUAAGUGGGAAACGAUGUGGGAAGGCACAGACAGCCAGGAUGUUGGCUUAGAAGCAGCCAUCAUUUAAAGAAAGCGUAAUAGCUCACUGGUCGAGUCGGCCUGCGCGGAAGAUGUAACGGGGCUAAACCAUGCACCGAAGCUGCGGCAGCGACACUAUGUGUUGUUGGGUAGGGGAGCGUUCUGUAAGCCGUUGAAGGUGGCCUGUGAGGGUUGCUGGAGGUAUCAGAAGUGCGAAUGCUGACAUAAGUAACGAUAAAGCGGGUGAAAAGCCCGCUCGCCGGAAGACCAAGGGUUCCUGUCCAACGUUAAUCGGGGCAGGGUGAGUCGACCCCUAAGGCGAGGCCGAAAGGCGUAGUCGAUGGGAAACAGGUUAAUAUUCCUGUACUUGGUGUUACUGCGAAGGGGGGACGGAGAAGGCUAUGUUAGCCGGGCGACGGUUGUCCCGGUUUAAGCAUGUAGGCGGAACGAUUAGGUAAAUCCGGUCGUUUUUUAACGCUGAGGUGUGAUGACGAGGCACUACGGUGCUGAAGUAACAAAUGCCCUGCUUCCAGGAAAAGCCUCUAAGCAUCAGGUAACAUCAAAUCGUACCCCAAACCGACACAGGUGGUCAGGUAGAGAAUACCAAGGCGCUUGAGAGAACUCGGGUGAAGGAACUAGGCAAAAUGGUGCCGUAACUUCGGGAGAAGGCACGCUGAUAUGUAGGUGAAGCCCCUGCGGGUGGAGCUGAAAUCAGUCGAAGAUACCAGCUGGCUGCAACUGUUUAUUAAAAACACAGCACUGUGCAAACACGAAAGUGGACGUAUACGGUGUGACGCCUGCCCGGUGCCGGAAGGUUAAUUGAUGGGGUUAGCGGCAACGCGAAGCUCUUGAUCGAAGCCCCGGUAAACGGCGGCCGUAACUAUAACGGUCCUAAGGUAGCGAAAUUCCUUGUCGGGUAAGUUCCGACCUGCACGAAUGGCGUAAUGAUGGCCAGGCUGUCUCCACCCGAGACUCAGUGAAAUUGAACUCGCUGUGAAGAUGCAGUGUACCCGCGGCAAGACGGAAAGACCCCGUGAACCUUUACUAUAGCUUGACACUGAACACUGGUCCUUGAUGUGUAGGAUAGGUGGGAGGCUUUGAAGUGUGGACGCCAGUCUGCAUGGAGCCGUCCUUGAAAUACCACCCUUUAAUGGCUGGUGUUCUAACGUAGACCCGUAAUCCGGGUUGCGGACAGUGUCUGGUGGGUAGUUUGACUGGGGCGGUCUCCUCCCAAAGAGUAACGGAGGAGCACGAAGGUUAGCUAAUCCUGGUCGGACAUCAGGAGGUUAGUGCAAUGGCAUAAGCUAGCUUGACUGCGAGAGUGACGGCUCGAGCAGGUGCGAAAGCAGGUCAUAGUGAUCCGGUGGUUCUGAAUGGAAGGGCCAUCGCUCAACGGAUAAAAGGUACUCCGGGGAUAACAGGCUGAUACCGCCCAAGAGUUCAUAUCGACGGCGGUGUUUGGCACCUCGAUGUCGGCUCAUCACAUCCUGGGGCUGAAGUAGGUCCCAAGGGUAUGGCUGUUCGCCAUUUAAAGUGGUACGCGAGCUGGGUUUAGAACGUCGUGAGACAGUUCGGUCCCUAUCUGCCGUGGGCGCUGGAGAAUUGAGGGGGGCUGCUCCUAGUACGAGAGGACCGGAGUGGACGCAUCACUGGUGUUCGGGUUGUCAUGCCAAUGGCACUGCCCGGUAGCUAAAUGCGGAAAAGAUAAGUGCUGAAAGCAUCUAAGCACGAAACUUGCCCCGAGAUGAGUUCUCCCUGAGACUUUAAGUCUCCUGAAGGAACGUUGAAGACGACGACGUUGAUAGGUCGGGUGUGUAAGCGCAGCGAUGCGUUGAGCUAACCGAUACUAAUGAACCGUGAGGCUUAACCUUACAACGCCGAAG